rnacentral:lncRNA from 1 species
GAAAUAAUGUCAACUUAAACCUUCCCUCCCCUAGGGAGCUCUCCCUAACAAUCUGGGCUGGAAAGAGUGUGUUCCUUUAGGAAACAGAGCAUGUAUCACUCAUUGAGAAUCCAUUAUUACUUUGAAUUUUUAGUUUUGUUUUCAUGUGUUGCUUUAUCUUCUUAAUUAAAUUAUCUCUUCCAGGGAGAGGACAUCUUAUUCUUAUUGGAUCACGCACAGUGCCUGAAGCAUUCUGUUGCAUGUAGAAAUCAGUAAAUUGCAGAUGUAAGAUUCAAAACGAGACUUCACAUCUACCGACUUCAGUGAUCCUGAAAUUUGUCCACAGAGAGCAUUUAACAUAACUGUCUUCAUCAUCUCCUUCUCUAAUUAAAAACUAUGGAGGCCUUACAAACUGGUAGAAGAUGCAUAAUAGAAGAGCUUAUGAAGUUAAAGAUGACAGCAUAGCAACACUGGUGAGAUCAUUUUAGACAUAACAUGGUAGGAAGGACUGUUUGACAAAGUGAAUGCCUGUCUUUCAGAAAAUACAGGGAGGUGUGGUGUACCCAUUAUCACAAGCAGAUGGAAUCCCUAUAGAGUCAGAUCUCAUCUACAUAUCACCUAUUAUAUGUAGUUAUUGAUGGAUAAAUACUUCAACAACUAAAGGCAGAAAGAGAGCAGUUCACAAAGACAUUAUUGGUGAUUCAAUCUUGAGUCAUGAAAAGCCAACCUUGAGCCACAAAAAGUCAACCUUGAGCCAAGCAGAGUGGAGAGUCAUACUG